UCACAAUAUCAAGCUUGGCUUGUUGUUGGGCCCUUUGUCACCUGGUGACAGGUCCAAAAGACAAUAACCGGUGUCAUACAGACUCUAUAUGCAACGAGCUUAUAACAGCACGCAUCUGGUAGUCAUAUGGCCCGGUUCUCACCUCUUUAUUUUUCAA
rnacentral:misc_RNA from 1 species